rnacentral:misc_RNA from 1 species
GAUCCUUUACAGAAAUAGUACAGAGAUCAAAAAGCAAUAUUAUGGUGCUGCCUGGAGGUUUUUUGAUUUUAUAAACAAUUUACAAGAGUUGUUUUUCCUACUAAAGAUGCUUUUAUUAGAGAGACUGGAUUCGACAUUAUUGAAGGUGCUAGUAUUCUGUUUCUGGGGCAGCACUUGUGCAUAGAAAGAUAGCAAAUCAGAGAUGAAACA